rnacentral:rRNA from 1 species
UGAGGAACAUGACCUUCGGCGGGGGAGUAGCCGGCCCAACGGCCGGGUAAUACCGCGUACGACCACUUUGGGACAUCCCUAGGUGGUGAAAGCAGCAAUGCGCCGAUGGAGUGCCUCGCGGCCUAUCAGCUAGUUGGUGAGGUAACGGCUCACCAAGGCGACGACGGGUAGCUGGUCUGAGAGGAUGGCCAGCCACAUUGGGACUGAGACACGGCCCAGACCUCCGUACGGGGAGCA